rnacentral:rRNA from 1 species
CGGCGGACGGGUGAGUAACGCGUGGGUAACCUGCUCAUACAGGGGGAUAACAGUUAGAAAUGACUGCUAAUACCGCAUAAGACCACGGUACCGCAUGGUACAGUGGUAAAAACUCCGGUGGUAUGAGAUGGACCCGCGUCUGAUUAGGUAGUUGGUGGGGUAACGGCCUACCAAGCCGACGAUCAGUAGCCGACCUGAGAGGGUGACCGGCCACAUUGGGACUGAGACACGGCCCAG